rnacentral:rRNA from 1 species
GACGAACGCUGGCGGCGUGCUUAACACAUGCAAGUCGAACGGAAAGGCCCUGCUUGCAGGGUACUCGAGUGGCGAACGGGUGAGUAACACGUGGGUGUUCUGCCCUGCACUUUGGGAUAUGCCUGGGAAACAGGGUGUAAUACCGGAUAGGAGCGACUUUUAGUGUGAUGGUUGGAAAGUUUUUUCGGUGUAGGAUGAGUUCGCGGCCUAUCAGCUUGUUGGUGGGGUGAUGGCCUACCAAGGCGGCGACGGGUAGCCGGCCUGAGAGGGUGGACGGCCACAUUGGGACUGAGAUACGGCCCAGACUCCUACGGGAGGCAGCAGGGGGGAAUAUUGCACAAUGGGCGCAAGCCGGAUGCAGCGACGCCGCGUGGGGGAUGACGGCCUUCGGGUUGUAAACUCCUUUCGCUAGGGACGAAGCUUUUUGUGACGGUACCUAGAUAAGAAGCACCGGCUAACUACGUG